rnacentral:sRNA from 1 species
GAAAAAGGAAAAAAAAAGGUACAAAAA